rnacentral:rRNA from 1 species
UACGAAGGGGGCUAGCGUUGCUCGGAAUUACUGGGCGUAAAGCGCGUGUAGGCGGCCCGGUAAGUCCGCUGUGAAAGUCGGGGGCUCAACCCUCGGAAGCCGGUGGAUACUGUCGGGCUCGAGUACGGAAGAGGCGAGUGGAAUUCCUGGUGUAGCGGUGAAAUGCGCAGAUAUCAGGAGGAACACCUAUUGCGAAGGCAGCUCGCUGGGACGUUACUGACGCUGAGACGCGAAAGCGUGGGGAGCAAACAGG